rnacentral:lncRNA from 1 species
UAUGAAAAUCCUAAUACCACCUAUGUAUAUUUAUACACAGUCAUUGGGCCCAAUCAAAAACUCUUCUUGGCUAAAUCUAAUACAUGAAAGUACUCACUAAACCAUGUUUCAUCCAUGUCUCACAUGCUCUCACCUCUUAGACUUAAUCCUAGUCCAAGUUCUUGAGUUAAGCCCCUUAAGACCUCCCAUAACAAGACCUCAAGAACCCUA